UCAAUUCAAUUUUGAAAAUCCACAAAAAAAGGAACUAAAAAGGAAGAACAACUGAUUGUAAAGAAAGAUAUUCAAACUAAACGAGCUUCUGAACCAAUUGUUGUCUAUGGCCCAAGACUAAAUGCAAAACAAAUAAACUAAACUAACGAGCUCAAACAAACUAGAAAAGGAAACAAUUAAAUAUGAACUUAGAUUUAAAAAUUAAGAAAAAAAAUGCAAAAACGAAUUACGAGGAACCAGAGGAGAAGAAAAUAGAGAAAAAAAAAUAGAAGAGUAUAAGAAAUCAAAAAUGAAGAGAAGGAGAUGUUGACCAUAUCUGUCUGAACCAAACGAAACAAAUCCUUUGAACGACCUCUUGAGUUCGAUUUUCGAUCGAAAUAAACUUUAAUCGCCUGUUCUCGAUGAAAACACACGACUAAAUUCCAAUUUGAACUCAAAUUUGCAUUCACUAGCUGAUUUUUACUUUGGGGAUUUGAGGGUUCCGCUUUUAGAUUUAGGAUUUGAAGGGCUCUAGGUAAAUUCUAGGGAAGCCAAUUAGGGGUUGAAGAGGGGGAUGUUGAGGGGGUUCUGUGGUGUAAUGUUGAGGCUAAUCUGAGGUGGCAUCGCCACCAGAUGCAAUGGAGAUUUUAAGGCGGUGGUUCUAGGGUUUCAAAGAUUCAAGAGGUUCGGGGAAGGUUUGAGUAAAACUAAUGGUAGAUUGGGGUUGAGGAGGUGGAUGCGAGCCUAUGGUGUGAAUUUGGGCAUGAUUGGCAGUAGCCCCUCCGGGUUUCAGGUGGGUGAAAAAGGGCGACGGGUGUUAGGGCUUUAGUGAGAGGAGUCUUUGAAAGAGACGAGGGGGGAGGUUA
rnacentral:lncRNA from 1 species